ACCUGGCUGGCUCAAAUGGUGAAGCGUGGGACUCUCGAUCUUGGGGUUAUGAGUUCAAGCCCCAUGUUGGGUG
rnacentral:tRNA from 1 species